CCAUUUUUAAAUAAGUUUAAUCAAAAUUGUUUUCAUACAUAAAAUUGAAGAAGUAGAUUCUGAAUUUCUGAGGUUGGCAACCAACCUUCAAGGCAUGUAUGCUCAAAAUAACUUUGGCCUGCUUGAAAGAUUUAUAUUAAUAACCUACUAUAUAACAAUAUUGUUCUAUACUGUAUUUUAUAACUGUUUUGAAUUUAUAACUGCAUAUACAUUUACAAUAUACUCAUUUUCUUCAAUAGACACAAAAAUGAACAACAUAUAAUUUCUUGAAAACAUUUUAAAUUACAAUUAUUUUGUAAUAGUUAGUAAUAUUAAAGUUGACAUUUCUAAUACAAAUGUCAAAAUAUAGCAAUGCCAUUUAUUACAAUACAUUAUUCAUUUGAUUAAAUACAAUUUAUUAAUGAAUAUAUUUAAAAAAAAAAUUUACUUCUAUUUCACAUUACAAGUUUGUACUUACUGUUUUGUUAAUAAUGGUGAAAGAAAGUGGACACUAGGUUAAAUUAAUUGAUUUAACCAUGGCACGAUGAAAUAUAGCCAAAAGCAUGACCAGAAAUAAGUAGAGAUCAUCAUUGCUUAUCGGCGAAAUUUUGCUACAAAAUGGAUACAGAGGGCCUCUCGCGGUCAAUGGCUGCACUAUUAGCACAUCUCGUCAUCGGUACACUUGGGAAAAACGUACAUAUGCGUGGCGAGAGAAGAAAUGUACAAUCGUGAGAUCUUGGCUGCUAUUUUUGUACAAAUUUAUAAAGUUUUUACUUGUAUUUAUUCAGAAGAAAGAAACACAUAUAUUUUUGAAAACAUAACUAUCAAUUCUUACAUUUUUAAUACCUACAUUACAAACACCUCCAUUACAAACUUUUUUCUUUAAAAUUAUUACAAAUUGUUUCUUUUUAUACGUGGAAACCUUUUUUCACAUUAUGUAUUUUUUAAAUAAUGACAUUAGUAAGGGGUAUAGCAAGAUAAAGGGAUUAAAACUGCACCAUUCACCAACAGCUGAAAGAGAACAUCGUAAAGCAAUUAUGAAUUCUUUACUUUAACCAGAAAUGUAUUAUUUAUUUUUCUUUAGUCCGUGCCUCUCGGUUUUGGACGAACUUUCAGCUUUCUUUACAGCAACCAGAAAUGUAAUUAGAGUAAAUAGAAUACGAUGUUUAUGAUAAUAAAUUUGUAAAACGGAAAGCAUAAUAAAUUUUGUGCACGUCAA